GAUGAACGCUGGCGGCGUGCUUAACACAUGCAAGUCGAACGGAAAGGCCCAAGCUUGCUUGGGUACUCGAGUGGCGAACGGGUGAGUAACACGUGGGUGAUCUGCCCUGCACUUCGGGAUAAGCCUGGGAAACUGGGUCUAAUACCGGAUAGGACCACUUCUUGGAUGUUGUGGUGGAAAGUUUUUUCGGUGUGGGAUGAGCUCGCGGCCUAUCAGCUUGUUGGUGGGGUAAUGGCCUACCAAGGCGUCGACGGGUAGCCGGCCUGAGAGGGUGUACGGCCACAUUGGGACUGUGAUACGGCCCAGACUCCUACGGGGGGCAGCAGUGGGGAAUAUUGCACAAUGGGCGCAAGCCUGAUGCAGCGACGCCGCGUGGGGGAUGACGGCCUUCGGGUUGUAAACUCCUUUCGCUAGGGACGAAGCGUUUUUGUGACGGUACCUGGAGAAGAAGCACCGGCUAACUACGUG
rnacentral:rRNA from 1 species